rnacentral:rRNA from 1 species
GUGGGGAAUAUUGGGCAAUGGGCGCAAGCCUGACCCAGCAACGCCGCGUGAAGGAAGAAGGCUUUCGGGUUGUAAACUUCUUUUAAGAGGGAAGAGCAGAAGACGGUACCUCUAGAAUAAGCCACGGCUAACUACGUGCCAGCAGCCGCGGUAAUACGUAGGUGGCAAGCGUUGUCCGGAUUUACUGGGUGUAAAGGGCGUGCAGCCGGGUCUGCAAGUCAGAUGUGAAAUCCAUGGGCUCAACCCAUGAACUGCAUUUGAAACUGUAGAUCUUGAGUGUCGGAGGGGCAAUCGGAAUUCCUAGUGUAGCGGUGAAAUGCGUAGAUAUUAGGAGGAACACCAGUGGCGAAGGCGGAUUGCUGGACGAUAACUGACGGUGAGGCGCGAAAGUGUGGGGAGCAAACAGGAUUAGAAACCCGAGUAGUCC